rnacentral:rRNA from 1 species
UACGUAGGCAGCGAGCGUUGUUCGGAGUUACUGGGCGUAAAGGGUGCGUAGGCGGUUGUUUAAGUUUGGGGUGAAAUCUCCCGGCUCAACUGGGAGGGUGCGCCGAAUACUGAAUGACUAGAGUGCGGGAGAGGAUAGUGGAAUUCCUGGUGUAGCGGUGAAAUGCGUAGAUAUCAGGAGGAACACCGGUGGUGUAGACGGCUAUCUGGACCGUAACUGACGCUGAGGCACGAAAGCGUGGGGAGCAAACAGG